GGACCCGCACAAGCAGUGGAGCAUGUGGUUUAAUUCGACGCAACGCGAAGAACCUUACCAGCGUUUGACAUGGGAAGUGCCGGUUACAGAAUGGUAACCUUCAGUUCGGCUGGCUUCCACACAGGUGCUGCAUGGCUGUCGUCAGCUCGUGUCGUGAGAUGUUGGUUAAGUCCCGCAACGAGCGCAACCCUUAUCGUUAGUUACUAACAGUUCGGCUGAGGACUCUAGCCAGACUGCCUACGCAAGUAGUGAGGAAGGUGGGGACGACGUCAAGUCAUCAUGGCCCUUACGUCCAGGGCUGCACACGUGCUACAAUGGUCGGUACAAUGGGUCGCCACCCAGCGAUGGGGCGCAAA
rnacentral:rRNA from 1 species